CAGCCGCCGCGGUAAUACGUAGGUGGCGAGCGUUAUCCGGAAUCAUUGGGCGUAAAGAGGGAGCAGGCGGUGAUACAGGUCUGGAGGUGAAAGCCCGACGCUAAACUUCGGGAAGCCCCGGAAACCGGAUCACUGGAGUGCGGAAGAGGAUCGUGGAAUUCCAUGUGUAGCGGUGAAAUGCGUAGAUAUAUGGAGGAACACCAGUGGCGAAGGCGACGGUCUGGUCCGCAACUGACGCUCAGUCCCGAAAGCGUGGGGAGCAAAUAGGAUUAGAUACCCUAGUAGUCCACGCCGUAAACGAUCGAUACUAAGUGUCGGGAGUCAGAUCCCGGUGCUGCAGUCAACGCAAUAAGUAUCGCGCCUGAGUAGUACGUUCGCAAGAAUGAAACUUAAAGGAAUUGGCGGG
rnacentral:rRNA from 1 species